CAACCUUUGCGCUCUGCGCAGUGUUGAGCGCAGCCUCCUGGGCUCGCUUCAAAUCCAGUGGCAGCACCGCAGAGCCCCUACGCGCAGUGAUCACCGCCGCCAGUGGAGCGCUGCGAGUGCUCGCCAGUCAACCCCCACUUUGCUA
rnacentral:misc_RNA from 1 species